GCCGAAGUGGCGGAAUUGGCAGACGCGCAGGAUUUAGGAUCCUGUCCCGUAAGGGGUGGAGGUUCAAGUCCUCUCUUCGGCA
rnacentral:tRNA from 1 species